rnacentral:tRNA from 2 species
GCGGAGUAGCUCAGUUGGUUAGAGCAGCGGAAUCAUAAUCCGCGUGUCGGGGGUUCGAAUCCCUCCUCCGC